AUUUUCUUUAUAACUAUUUAUGAAAUGCAUGUUUUUUCGCUUAGCUUUGCUUGGUGGAUUGUAAAUGUUCUGUGUGGAGUGUACUUCUGCGAGCAUGGCCUGAGAGCAGUCGGAAGAGUUGUUCAGUCUGCUGUUGUUGGUGUUCCUAGGAUCCUGGCUCUGGCUUCACUGUGACUCUGGCCAGAGUAAAGUCUUUACUGAAGAUGAAGAAGAGGGCAUGAUUCUACCCCCAGGCCUCUCUGUGACUUUCUUCAGCCCACUAAAGAAAAGUCCGAUGAUUUUGCUGAUGAUUGGUGAAGAAAAAGGAAGAAAAUGAUGUUUACUAUGGGGUCUAAAGUAUCGUGUGGGUUUGGAAGACUCCACCACCUUCAUCACAUCUUACGUGAAAGAAAAAUUCAGCUCAAUCAUGUACAGUAUGCUGGAAAUAAACAAGACUCAUAAAGCAACUCAAAGCAACCUACAAGUACACAAUGAACACAAAGCAGGAAAAAAUAUCUACACAGUAAAACAAUCAUAAAUCUUUACAUUAAAAUAAGCAACUAACCCAUCUCUUAAAACAAAAAGGGGGCAAUUACAUAAUACAUAUGUAAAAACAGAAAAGAUCAUCUUUAUGAAUAGAUGAAAAAAAAGAAAAAGAAAAAAUGAACAAGAAGACAAGUUUUCUAAUAGACUUUUUUUUUUUAACAAACUGAUUUAUGACUGCUUAAUGGUCAUAAAAAAGAAAGAAAAGAAAUAUGUUUCUCCAAACAUGUUUGAGAUUAUUUGGCAAAAGCAUUUAAAUCAUGCCCUCCUCAGGGACCAGUUAAACAACAAACUCUCCUGUAAGAUAGUUUGGGGAGACAUCCGCUCCUCUUCAUGAUUUAAGGUAACCAUUUGCGGUAGUAUAAUGUUUGUUGAAGAGGUGUAAUGAAAAGAAAAUGUCAGUGGAAGAGCAGCAUGUGGUAAACUCAAAUUCACGGCUAACUAUGUGUUUAAAGAAUGUGUGCAUGGUUCCUUAAUUGGGCUCACAUUGCCCAUAAUGGGAUCAGUGUGCGUAAGAAAGCUUUUGAUAAGAAAAUCACAAAUCUACUAAACUGUAUAUCACAUCUAUUUGGCUUUCAAUUAUCUGAUCUCUUGGACAAUUUUAAAACACUCUAAACAGCAUGUAAUUGCACCUAAUCAUUUUCCCUUCUGAGCACAUUUAAAAAAAGCAGCUAUACUCCAUAAUGAACUGUUAGUGUGAGUGCCUCAAAGAUGGGCAGCAUAACAAAGUGCUUUUCAUAUAUCGGGUCGAUCUAUUAUGACAUUAAUCCUACCUGCAGCAGUAGAGAUGCCAAGAAUUCUGCAUACAUGCUCCACCACAACCCACAAAUCUGAGCUACUCAUUGCCAAAUCCAAAGUUCUUCUCCUUUUUAGAGUUCCUUCACCAUAUCAACGGAACUAAUACUAUUCCACAGGUAAAACGAGCACAAAGCUAUGGCUGUGGAUAGGUAGCAUAACCAUGGCAGCAUGGGCUCAUGGCUGAUAAUCUUGCAGCCUUAGGGUGCUGUAAAAUGGCUACAAGGGAACGCUUGUCCCUGUUAAUCUGCCUAAUAAAAUAGCUAAAACCUACACACUGACCACGCCUGCUGGUUUCACACACAUUCCACUUCCUUUCAAGGUGAGGGAUAAAAGUCUGGAAAAAUAGUUGAGGAUUACCUGUUUUUGUGUUAGCCAGUAUUGCAGCUAAGACCAGACUCUCCUGGGGAUAAACCAUAAAUGCACACACAAAGAGUUCAGUGAAGUAUUUAUCCUGCAUAAGAAAUCGUUUGUUUUGGAGCUGCUGAAGGAUAAGUGACCUUGCACAAAUCUAUGCUAUUAAUCAAAAAUGUGCAUGCCAGAGUAGCAGUUCUAUUUCUCCUGAACAGGAUGUGCAGUGAGAGACUCUAACAUGUCUGGCUGAUAAGCUGGACUAAAUGAAAUGAUUAAUGGUAUAGGUGGGGCAGACCUGUCAUACAUACAAACAUGUAAAGACACCAGUCCUGACAGGAGGCAGACGCUCAGACACCGUAUCCAGCAGCCUAAAUAUACCUGUGUCAGAGGUCACACAUGCACACCCUCUCUCCUUCAUUGCAUAUUAUGAAAGAUUAAAACCAUUACAGCAUGAUUCGAUCAAAAAAGGCAACAGGACAACAUAAACAGUAUGAGUCAAGAACUUCUGUCAUGCACAAGCUUUCUUCUACAGUAAAAUUCUUAGUUUGCAUGGUCUCAUGGGUGCUGCAGUAGAUUUAAAACGGAUAGAUAAACAAUAAAAAAACAAUGUGUAAAAAAACAACAUUAAAUGCUGUCACGGCCAUAUUUAACAUACUGCUAUACAGAUAAUCUACUGGCUUGUGUACAGAAUUUGUGCAACAUUGUGCAAGAUAUUGUGCAAGGUUGGAAAAAAUGAUGGCUCAUGCAGUACAGUAAAAGUCUUAGUCACAUUGUGAGGUAUUGUGCACUGUACAUUGUGUUAUUGAUAUUGAUAUUACAUACCCCCACACUGUGCAGUGGGAAGCAUGUCUGUAUCACACCUCCAGAACCCCAGUUUGUUCCUGAGCUUGGGUUACUGUCUGUUUGGAGUUUCAUCUGUUCUCUUCACGUACAUGUAGAGUUCCUCAGGGUUCUCUGGUUUCAUCUCACUGUCCAGAAACUUGCAGGUGAAGUCUCAUCCCUUGUACCCAGUGUUGUGCCCAGGGAUUGGCUCUGGAUCCACAGAGGCCCAGAACAAGAUAAAACACUUACUGAAGAUGAAUGAGUGAAUUAAAUUGACUACUUCUUACACAAAUUGCAAUCAUA